rnacentral:rRNA from 1 species
ACGGAAGGCAGCAGUGGGGAAUAUUGCACAAUGGGGGAAACCCUGAUGCAGCAACGCCGCGUGAGUGAUGACGGUCUUCGGAUUGUAAAGCUCUGUCUUUGGGGACGAUAAUGACGGUACCCAAGGAGGAAGCCACGGCUAACUACGUGCCAGCAGCCGCGGUAAUACGUAGGUGGCGAGCGUUGUCCGGAUUUACUGGGCGUAAAGGGAGCGUAGGCGGAUUCUUAAGUGGGAUGUGAAAUACCCGGGCUUAACCUGGGUGCUGCAUGCCAAACUGGGAAUCUAGAGUGCAGGAGGGGAGAGUGGAAUUCCUAGUGGAGCGGUGAAAUGCGUAGAGAUUAGGAAGAACACCAGUGGCGAAGGCGACUCUCUGGACUGUAACUGACGCUGAGGCUCGAAAGCGUGGGGAGCGAACAGGAUUAGAUACCCUGGUA